rnacentral:rRNA from 1 species
CAUGCCGUAAACGAUGAAUGCUAAGUGUUGGAGGGUUUCCGCCCUUCAGUGCUGCAGCUAACGCAUUAAGCAUUCCGCCUGGGGAGUACGACCGCAAGGUUGAAACUCAAAAGAAUUGACGGGGGCCCGCACAAGCGGUGGAGCAUGUGGUUUAAUUCGAAGCUACGCGAAGAACCUUACCAGGUCUUGACAUCUUCUGCUAACCUAAGAGAUUAGGCGUUCCCUUCGGGGACAGAAUGACAGGUGG